rnacentral:rRNA from 1 species
AUUGAACGCUGGCGGCAUGCCUUACACAUGCAAGUCGAACGGUAACGGGCCUUCGGGUGCCGACGAGUGGCGAACGGGUGAGUAAUGCAUCGGAACGUACCUUUCAGUGGGGGAUAACGUAGCGAAAGUUACGCUAAUACCGCAUAUUCUGUGAGCAGGAAAGCAGGGGAUCGCAAGACCUUGCGCUGAUUGAGCGGCCGAUGUCAGAUUAGCUAGUUGGUGAGGUAAAGGCUCACCAAGGCGACGAUCUGUAGCGGGUCUGAGAGGAUGAUGCGCCACACUGGAACUGAGACACGGUCCAGACUCCUACGGGAGGCAGCAGUGGGGAAUUUUGGACAAUGGGGGCAACCCUGAUCCAGCCAUGCCGCGUGAGUGAAGAAGGCCUUCGGGUUGUAAAGCUCUUUCGGCCGGGAAGAAAUCGCACGGGCUAAUACCCUGUGUGGAUGACGGUACCGGAAUAAGAAGCACCGGCUAACUACGUGCCAGCAGCCGCAGUAACAC